UCGGGGCGCCGUCCGUGAGGAGGGACGGUCGGCUCCAGUCGGUCAGCACUGUUCUAGGCGCAGAUAGAAGCCGAUCAGGGCGCGCCUCGCUUGCUCGACGGGGAGGACGCGGCCCCGGCAGAGCAGCCCCGUUCGUCUUCGGAAGAAGGUGGCCGGCUCCACAGGGACUGCUGAGAGGAGGCACCGACUGUUGGACAGGAGGAGGCCCCUCAACUUCAUCGACUGCCUUCUAUCCCAAAGACUCUGAAUCUUGCACAGGACAUAUAAAGAAUGUGGGAUUGAAGGCCCCCAUCCAUCUCCCUCCAGCUGUUCUGAUAGGCCUCACUUGAGAGUGGGGCCAGGAGUGACCGUGCCCUGAUCUGUUCUUCUGAAACAGCUGCAAGAAGUUGCCUAUAUCCACACAUCAUUGGAAAGGUUUGAGGAAAGACUCAGUAAAAGAAACAUCUAUUUUAGAUUCUUUCAAAACCUCUAAGACAUCCAUCUUAGAGGAAAAAUCCAAGUCACAGUUUGAGAACCUCCUAAAUUAGUUACUGUUAGCAGAGAAAACAGUACCAGAAGCAUAAUGGAAGGAUUUAAGCCACCCUGUAACACAGAAGAUGGCAGUUCCCUCAUCUCUCCGCCUGAAAUUCACGACUUGGAGGUCAGCAAUGAGGAGAAGCCGAGCGAUACAUUGAAAAUUGAUGAAACAAGCUUUCUCCUUGAUAAACCGGGUGAUUUAGCAGUAUUUAAAUAUGAAGGGUAUGGUGUAACUCCAGCACUAGAGAGUAAUACCCCUUCUAGUAGCCAAAGCAAAGCAAAUUUGAAGUCAGAGGUCGAACAGUUGCCAACUGAUUUACCACCUAAGUGGGCCACUAGGAAAUCUGGCUCCAAGGUCAAUACUGGCAAGGGUUUUAAGGAAGGCAGUUACACUGAUGAAGAGCCAGUUGGCAAGAAGGCUAAGUCUAAGUCUAAAUUCCAACUAAAAUGGCCAUCCAGUGGCACUGGCGACUCCCUGUUCCAAAGUACCUCACAACUCCUGGGAUUUGGUAUGGAAAAGAAAGAAACGAUGUUUGAAGAGUCAUCAUCAAGUGAAAGUGAUGUGGACAUCCCAUUUCUGGACUGGAGCGACCAAGAAAGCGAGUCAACAGGAGUGAUGGAAACAAUACCCUUGGAGUCCUUUGAAGAUUAUUUGUUUCGCAAGCAAGCGGCAAGAAGCAUAUUUUUCUCAGGGAGCAGCCCCUUCCGAUGCAACUCCGAUCAACCCGAAUUCGAUCUAGAACUAUUCGAUUCAGCUUCAACUUGUGACCAGAAAUCCUUUUUCCUGUCACCGAAAGAAAAAGAGAGAGAAAUGGAAAACACUGCAAGCCCAGAACCAAAAAAGAGAAGAUACUAUAUGUGAAGAGAUCAUCCAAGUGCAUAAUUCUACUUGAGAUUUUGUUUUAUUCAGAAGCUGAGAAAUCAUUGAGUUCUGUCGACCCUAAACCUGUUAUGAAGUUGCACACCUUCUAGCAGCCUGGGGCCCACUUUCCUGGAUUACUCUCCAGCAGGUCAAGUUGGGUAAUUUGUAGUUAUGUGGGUUUCUACUUAGAGAAGUCUCCCCACUGACAACCCACUCAAGUUUCAAUUUUAAAAUUCAUAGUUUAGGAAACGAGUGUUUAUUUGUAAUCCUGUUAAGGAGCUUGCUGCUAGAAAGGCUAUUCAUGUUUAUGUCAAAGAGGAAGCGGUUAUGGUAGGCCUGAUUUAAUUACCUGGUAUUUUGGAAUAA